UGCAGUCGAACGAGAUCCUUCGGGGUCUAGUGGCGCACGGGUGCGUAACGCGUGGGAAUCUGCCCUUGGGUUCGGAAUAACAGUUAGAAAUGACUGCUAAUACCGGAUGAUGUCGAAAGACCAAAGAUUUAUCGCCUGAGGAUGAGCCCGCGUAGGAUUAGGUAGUUGGUGGGGUAAAGGCCUACCAAGCCGACGAUCCUUAGCUGGUCUGAGAGGAUGAUCAGCCACACUGGGACUGAGACACGGCCCAGACUCCUACGGGAGGCAGCAGUGGGGAAUAUUGGACAAUGGGCGAAAGCCUGAUCCAGCAAUGCCGCGUGAGUGAUGAAGGCCUUAGGGUUGUAAAGCUCUUUUACCCGGGAUGAUAAUGACAGUACCGGGAGAAUAAGCCCCGGCUAACUCC
rnacentral:rRNA from 1 species